rnacentral:rRNA from 1 species
AGCAGCCGCGGUAAUUCCAGCUCCAAUAGCGUAUAUUAAAGUUGUUGCAGUUAAAAAGCUCGUAGUUGAAUUUCGGGAUCAAUUCGUCGGUCGUGCUUUUUGUACGUACUGGUGUUAUUGGUUUCUCCUUUCUGACGAACCAUGAUGUCAUUAAUUUGGUGUUAUGGGGAGUUAGGACUGUUACUUUGAAAAAAUUAGAGUGUUUAAAGCAGGCUAACGCUUGAAUACAUUAGCAUGGAAUAAUGAAAUAGGACGUUCGAUCUUAUUUUGUUGGUUUCUAGGAUUGACGUAAUGAUUAAUAGGGAUAGUUGGGGGCAUUAGUAUUCAAUUGUCAGAGGUGAAAUUCUUGGAUUUAUUGAAGACUAACUACUGCGAAAGCAUUUGCCAAGGAUGUUUUCAUUAAUCAAGAACGAAAGUUAGGGGAUCGAAGACGAUCAGAUACCGUCGUAGUCUUAACCAUAAACUAUGCCGACUAGGGAUCGGAUGAUGUUAAUUUUUUAAUGACUCAUUCGGCGCCUUA